UUCAUCUCCAUUAUCAUCCAUUAUCAACAAAAUACUUGUAUAUAACAUCAUGAAGGUUUUUGGAAUAUUUUGCUUCAUUGUUUGUGUUGCGUGGGUUAAAAGCGCAACCGUGUCGGGCGUGACGUCAGAGACUAACGCACCCACAGUAGAAAUGACGACAGCCGACAAUGGGGGAGGAGUGACAAACACCACAGAUAAUGCUGACUUCUCCACGACAGAAAUAACCACCACCACCAUCAACAACAACACCACCAAUACCACGAACACCAACACAACCACCCAAAAAAUAACAACACCAAUAAUAACAGGCGCACCCACAAAAGCCACAGCAUCAACGACUUCACAUAAAACAGAAGCUUCCAGUCGAGGCACACCAGUACCAUCAGCCCCAACAAUUCCAAGUCCAACAACAGAACGGACUGAAACAUCAACAAGCCCCCAACAACAGAAUAAGGCCAGCCAAACAGGAACAAUAGUAGGCGUGGCAUUUGGUAUGCUUAUACUUGGCGCCAUAUUAGGAGUUGUCGGAGUUUACAUCUUUCAGAGAUAUUGGGCAAGAGGUGCUACUGGCUACGAACUCAAACAUUUACGACAAUAUUAAACAAAUGUGUAUUAUUCAGGAUACAGUUGAUUGAUUUCAACACGCGAUCUCGAUACGUAGAUAAAAACCUGUAUAUUAUGGAAUUACUAUUACUCUUUACUGAGCGACGUGUUGACUAAGAAUGAUAUUUUGACUACGAACGACAUUUUGACUAAGAAUGACAUUUUGACUACGAACGACAUUUUGACUACGAACGACAUUUUGACUACGAACGACGUUUUGACAAGGAUUCUCUGGUCUUUAUUGCCGUUCCAUAAAGACUUGGUCACAAGUAACUUCCGGUCGAAACGUCGCUCAGUUACAGACAGCCAGUGUAUUCUAUAUUAUAAUGCCCAGCAUAUUUACAGUUUAAUUACUAAAUGCCAUUAACACAAUUUAUAUUAUUGUUAUUUGGUUUAAACAGAACACGACGUAAUUUAUAUUUAUUAUUUGGUUUUAUUAAAACACGACAUAACACAGCACACAAUAAAGGCAUCGGUCUUGCUUUCGCUAGAAGAAAUUUGUUAUAGUUCAGAAUUUAGGAUCAAAAGUGAUUCGAUCACUUCACGUUGCAUGUAAUGUGUUUUCGGUAUUUGAAAACUAAACUAAAGAUCCACUAAAUGAUCAGAGAUUCCAACAAAACCUCCAAUAGCCCAACAGUAUUUAAUCAAUGCAAUGAUUUAUCUAUAAUUAUACACAUGUCUGUGUCGUGUGAUCGAGAUGUUAAAUCAGUUUAUCGUCUGAUAUGCCCACAAAACCUGGAACGGUCGAACAGUAUUUUGUCGCUGUUCCACCAAUGCAAUAAUUUAUCUAUAAUAAUACACAUGUGUGUGGUGUGAUUGGGAUUUUAACUCAGGUUAUCGUCAGAGUUAAAUAAAGGGAUAAUUCACUUAAGUACUUUUAUCUAUAAUUGUCUCUAUUUUUGCGAUAAAGGGACAUUUCGCACUACUUCAUCUACUGUGACGUAACCCAUCAAAGUUGAAUAAAUAUUUUGUCUAGAUGUGUGAGAUUGUGAGGUAAAAGGCUCAAUACCACUCUUGUUGUUACUGAAUAAUAUGUCCCAAUCUUUAUUCUGGUCAACAAAUUGUACUAUUUUACAAUAUUCCAAUAAAUUGAUGAUACAAAUUUCAUCUUAACACACCUAAUUUAAAAAAUUGGAAAAAGUCAACUAAAUGAUUUGAAAAGCCUGAGGUAAAGCUUUUCAAAUGUGACUUGGAUUUAAAAAUAUUUUUGAAAGGAUUUAAUGGAUAAUUUACACAACAGGUAGGACACUAACACAUCUAGUACUUUGAAUAAGGCUAUUUUUUAUUUUCUGGAGCUGUCAAGCCAGCAAGAGUGUUAUUGUCCCUUUAACCAAAAUUUAUCAACAAAGUUGAAUACAGGGACAAUUCGCUUUAGCGAUUGAGACGUUAAUCAAA